AUGUCAGGACAAAUUUUGUUAAGGUUGAACCAGUUUUCAGCAGAUGAAAUGGCCAUUUCAUCCAGUUCCAGCGGUGGUCCCGGAGGUCGCACCGUGUCCCGUUCCAGCGGUGGUCCCGGAGGAUGCAUCGCAUCCUGUCUCGGCGGUGGUCCCAGAGGACGCAUCGCAUCCUGUCUCAGCGGUGGUCCCAGAGGACGCAUUGCAUCCUGUCUCGGCUGUGGUUCCGGAGGACGCAUCACACCCUGUCUCGGCGGUGGUCCCGGAGGACGCACCACAUCCUGUCCAGUCCUUCCGAGAGGCUCUGGUCCAACUCUUCCAAGAUGCUCUGGUCCAGCCCUUCCAAGAGGCUCCGGUCCAGCCCUUCCAAGAGGCUCCGGUCCAGCCCGUCCAAGAGGCUCCGGUUCAGCCCGUCCAAGAGGCUCCGCCCAGUCCGGCGCAGCCUGUCCAAGAGGCUCCGCCCAGUCUGGCGCAGCCUGUCCAAGAGGCUCCGCCCAGUCCGGCGCCUCCAGGCCAGAAGUCAAUGCCUCCAAGCCAAGGGUCGACACCUUCGAGCCAAGGGUCGACGCCUCCGAGCCCAGGGUGGAUGCCUCCGAGCCAAGGGUCGACACCUCCAAGCCAAGGGUCGACGCCUCCAGGCCAAGGGUCGACGCCGCCAGGCUAGAAGUCGACGCCCCCAGACCAGAAGUCGACGCCCCCAGGCCAGAAGUCGACGCCUCCUGUCUCGAAGUCAACGCGUCCUGUCUCGAAGUCGACGCCCCAGUCUCAAAGUCGACGCCUCCUGUCUCGAAGUCGACAGAAGUAGGCGUCUCCAGCUCUGAAGUAGGCGUCUCCAGCUCUGAAGUAGGCAUCUCCAGCUCUGAAGUAGGCGUCUCCAGCUCUGAAGUAGAUGUCUCCAGCUCUGAAGUAGACGUCUCCAACUCUGAAGUAGACGUUUCCAGCUCCAGCUCUGAAGUAGACAUUUCCAGCUCCAGCUCUGAAGUAGACGUCUCCAGCUCCAACUCUGAAGUAGACGUCUCCCCGUCUCAAGUCUCGAUGUCGCCGUCUCAAGUGUUCCAGUCCCCACAAGUGUCCCAGUCUCCACAAGUGUCCCAGUCUCAAGUGUCCCAGUCUCAAGUGUCCCAGUCCCAAGAGUCCCCUGUGUCCCAGUCUCAAGUGUUCCAGUCUCAAGAGUCCCCUGAGUUCCAGUCUCAAGUGUCCCAGUCUCAAGUAUUCCAGUCUCAAGAGUCCCCUGUGUUCCAGUCUCAAGUGUUCCAUUCUCAAGAGUCCCAUGUGUUCCAGUCUCAAGUGUCCCAGUCUCAAGUGUCCCCUGUGUUCCAGUCUCUCGAGUCCCAAGUGUUCCUGUCUCAGUCCCUGUCUCCAGAGUUCCAGUCUCAGUCCCUGUCUCCAGAGACCCUUCCUCAUCCGCUGCAGUCCCUUCCUCGGCCUCCUCCUCCAAAGCCCCCGAUCCCCAGGGUUUCCUGUUCCCACCUCCUGGUUCCCUGUCGCCGGCCCACUAGACUUCCCUGGUCCCGCCUCCUGGUUCCCCGUCGCCGGCCCCCUAGACUUCCCUGGUCCCGCCUCCUGGUUCCCCGUCGCCGGCCC
ensembl:lncRNA